GAGCCUUUCUCCUCAUCUACAUAUGGAGAUGCCAGACACUCGCACACCGAAUGCGCUGAAAUAAAGGUUGGAUGCUGUGAAUGUCACCUGAUUCCUUUCACAUGUUUUUUUCCACCUGGAAAAUGGGGAUGAGUGGAGGAAAAAAAAAAAGUUCUGAAAAAAUAUUUUGAUGAAACUUCAGUCUAGAAAGAUUGUUUAGCUCCUGUGUGGAAUUUCUGCUCCAAACCACUUUCUCUUCUGCUCUCUCCAGCCUGCAGUGAGCCUUAAAUAGCAAUUUUGAGGCAGGACUUGAAGUCCGGAUCUUCUCAAAGAGACCAGAAAUGACUGGCUUGUGUUCGCUCAGAGUAUAAAGAACUGUGCCAAAUUCAAAGCCGGUGUGAGCAGCUAUAACUUUGCCAGCUUCAAUGAAAUGGAAUGUUAUUUUUGGACAUAGAGCUAUGUGGAUUCCAAGGGGAAAAUGGAAUGGAGCCAAUUCUGCGGUGAAACGAGUGUAGAAGACAGCGUGGUCACUGCAAUGUGUGACAGGACUGGAACUCCUGAAAGAGGCAAAGCACGGAAGACAGAGGAUACUCUCCAAAAGACAGGAUACUUCUUUGGAUACUGUGAUGAAGAGGUUUUUUGGUGCACUGGCUCUUAUGACAGUGAAGGAUGUGUUCUGGGGCCCCGUCAUGCAGAAAGGGAAAUGCUGCUACAGGGGACGCACAGCCACAGAAGGAAACGCUUUCAAACAGAGCAGACAGGUCAUCGUCUGUGCAGGCACCUACCUGCUCUGCCCGAUUCCUCCUGCACCUUCCCUUCCACGUGGAUUCAGCCAUGCUACUGGGUCCCAUGUCUGUUCAGCUGUGUCCAACUUGCCAUAUAAUUUGCAUGUGCAGGUACAUCAAUUAGCGU
ensembl:lncRNA